rnacentral:rRNA from 1 species
UACGGGAGGCAGCAGUGGGGAAUAUUGCACAAUGGGCGCAAGCCUGAUGCAGCCAUGCCGCGUGUAUGAAGAAGGCCUUCGGGUUGUAAAGUACUUUCAGUCGUGAGGAAGGUGUUAAGGUUAAUAACCUUAGCAAUUGACGUUAGCGACAGAAGAAGCACCGGCUAACUCCGUGCCAGCAGCCGCGGUAAUACGGAGGGUGCGAGCGUUAAUCGGAAUUACUGGGCGUAAAGGGCACGCAGGCGGUUAAUUAAGUUGGAUGUGAAAUCCCCGGGCUUAACCUGGGAAUGGCAUUCAAGACUGGUUAGCUAGAGUCUUGUAGAGGGGGUAGAAUUCCGAUGUGUAGCGGUGAAAUGCGUAGAGAUGUGGAGGAAUACCGGUGGCGAAGGCGGCCCCUGGACAAAGGACUGACGCUCAUGUGCGAAAGCGUGGGGAGCGAAACAGGGAUUAGAU